GAUGAACGCUGGCGGCGUGCUUAACACAUGCAAGUCGAGCGAACAGGCCCGGCUUUUGCGGCGCUGUCGUGAGCGGCGGACGGGUGAGACACACGUGGAUAACCUACCUAUCUGAGUGAGAUCUCUUCGGGAAAGCGGAGCUAAUACCGGAUGAGAUCCUGAACCGCAUGGUGCAAUAGAGAAAUACGGGUUUUGGGUCAGUUUUAGAUGGAUCGGCGGCUUAUUAGGUAGUUGGUACGGUAAAGGCUUACCAAGGCAACGAUGGGUAGCCGGCACGAGAGGUGGACCGCCCACCAUGGGCCUGCGAGACGGCCCAGAAGCGUACGGGAGGCAGCAGGGGGGAACAUUGCACAAUGGGCGCGAGCCUGAGGCAGCGGCGCCGCGUGCGUGAUGACGGCCUUCGGGUGGUAAACCAAUUUCUAAUGAGAUGAAGCGGUAGUGACGGUACCUGAUCAAGAAGCACCGGCUAACUACGUG
rnacentral:rRNA from 1 species